rnacentral:rRNA from 1 species
AGCAACAAAUGCCCUGCUUCCAGGAAAAGCCUCUAAGCAUCAGGUAACAUCAAAUCGUACCCCAAACCGACACAGGUGGUCAGGUAGAGAAUACCAAGGCGCUUGAGAGAACUCGGGUGAAGGAACUAGGCAAAAUGGUGCCGUAACUUCGGGAGAAGGCACGCUGACACGUAGGUGAAGUGAUUUACUCAUGGAGCUGAAGUCAGUCGAAGAUACCAGCUGGCUGCAACUGUUUAUUAAAAACACAGCACUGUGCAAACACGAAAGUGGACGUAUACGGUGUGACGCCUGCCCGGUGCCGGAAGGUUAAUUGAUGGGGUCAGCGCAAGCGAAGCUCCUGAUCGAAGCCCCGGUAAACGGCGGCCGUAACUAUAACGGUCCUAAGGUAGCGAAAUUCCUUGUCGGGUAAGUUCCGACCUGCACGAAUGGCGUAAUGAUGGCCAGGCUGUCUCCACCCGAGACUCAGUGAAAUUGAACUCGCUGUGAAGAUGCAGUGUACCCGCGGCAAGACGGAAAGACCCCGUGAACCUUUACUAUAGCUUGACACUGAACAUUGAGCCUUGAUGUGUAGGAUAGGUGGGAGGCUUUGAAGUGUGGACGCCAGUCUGCAUGGAGCCGGCCUUGAAAUACCACCCUUUAAUGUUUGAUGUUCUAACGUGGACCCGUGAUCCGGGUUGCGGACAGUGUCUGGUGGGUAGUUUGACUGGGGCGGUCUCCUCCUAAAGAGUAACGGAGGAGCACGAAGGUUGGCUAAUCCUGGUCGGACAUCAGGAGGUUAGUGCAAUGGCAUAAGCCAGCUUGACUGCGAGCGUGACGGCGCGAGCAGGUGCGAAAGCAGGUCAUAGUGAUCCGGUGGUUCUGAAUGGAAGGGCCAUCGCUCAACGGAUAAAAGGUACUCCGGGGAUAACAGGCUGAUACCGCCCAAGAGUUCAUAUCGACGGCGGUGUUUGGCACCUCGAUGUCGGCUCAUCACAUCCUGGGGCUGAAGUAGGUCCCAAGGGUAUGGCUGUUCGCCAUUUAAAGUGGUACGCGAGCUGGGUUUAGAACGUCGUGAGACAGUUCGGUCCCUAUCUGCCGUGGGCGCUGGAGAACUGAGGGGGGCUGCUCCUAGUACGAGAGGACCGGAGUGGACGCAUCACUGGUGUUCGGGUUGUCAUGCCAAUGGCACUGCCCGGUAGCUAAAUGCGGAAGAGAUAAGUGCUGAAAGCAUCUAAGCACGAAACUUGCCCCGAGAUGAGUUCUCCCUGAGACUUAGAGUCUCCUGAAGGAACGUUGAAGACGACGACGUUGAUAGGCCGGGUGUGUAAGCGCAGCGAUGCGUUGAGCUAACCGGUACUAAUGAACCGUGAGGCUUAACCUUACAACGCCGAAG